GGCUUACGAAAAAUAUCUUAAACGCCACGGAGAAGAACCUCAUCUUCCUGGUCUCGACUUUACAAAUAAACAAAUGUUUUUCAUCGGAUUUGCUCAGCUUUGGUGUGAGGCAAUCGAAUCCAUGAAAAAAACUUUCGAACGUGAUCAGCAUAGUCCCGGAAAAUACCGAGUGCUGGUUCCUUUAAUGAAUUCUCCAGAUUUUGCUGAAGUUUUCAACUGUCCUUUGAAAAGUUAUAUGAAUCCCGAGAAUAAAUGUCGAUUAUGGGGAUGAAAUGUAUUUAUUGUACAGUUCGUCAAAAUUCGGAAAACGAAUAAAAUAGUUAUCGUUAAUUUACUGCAUUAGUAUUUAUAAUCACUUCAUGUAUUUUUACAUAACGUUUUUCUAUUCUAACAGUUAAAAAACUUUCGUAAAUAUUUGGUAUUUUCGACUGAAUUAAAAUUACAGUACUGUACCAAAUAUCUGGCUUUUAGAAAUGUGGAAUUACCAGAA